rnacentral:rRNA from 1 species
CUACGGGUUGCACCAGUGGGGAAUAUUGCACAAUGGGCGAAAGCCUGAUGCAGCAACGCCGCGUGAGUGAUGAAGGCCUUCGGGUCGUAAAACUCUGUCCUCAAGGAAGAAUAAUGACGGUACUUGAGGAGGAAGCCCCGGCUAACUACGUGCCAGCAGCCGCGGUAAUACGUAGGGGGCAAGCGUUAUCCGGAAUCACUGGGCGUAAAGGGUGCGUAGGCGGUUUUACAAGUCAGGUGUGAAAGGCUAUGGCUCAACCAUAGUAGGCACUUGAAACUGUAUAACUUGAGUGCAGGAGAGGAAAGUGGAAUUCCUAGUGUAGCGGUGAAAUGCGUAGAUAUUAGGAGGAACACCAGUGGCGAAGGCGACUUUCUGGACUGUAACUGACGCUGAGGCACGAAAGCGUGGGGAGCGAACAGGAUUAGAUACCCUCGUAGUC